rnacentral:rRNA from 1 species
AGCGAACGCUGGCGGCAUGCCUAACACAUGCAAGUCGAACGGGUCGGCUUCGGCCGGUCAGUGGCGGACGGGAGAGGAACGCGUAGGGACCUGUCUUCUGGUGGGGGAUAACCGCGGGAAACUGCGGCUAAGACCGCAUGGGGCGCCGGUGUGAGAGCCGGUGUCAAAGGCGCGCAUCGCGAGGUGUGUGUCGGCGGGGGGUCGGCCUGCGUCCGAUUAGCUGGUUGGCGGGGUAGUGGCCCACCAAGGCGUCGAUCGGUAGCUGGUCUGAGAGGAUGAUCAGCCACAUUGGGACUGAGACACGGCCCAAACUCCUACGGGAGGCAGCAGUGGGGAAUAUUGGACAAUGGGCGCAAGCCUGAUCCAGCCAUGCCGCGUGGGUGAAGAAGGUCUUCGGAUUGUAAAGCCCUUUCGGCGGGGACGAUGGUGACGGUACCCGCAGAAGAAGCCCCGGCUAACUUCGUG